AUUAUUAAUUUCAGGAGAAUUUUCAAACUCGUCGAAUAAUCUCCGAAAAUCAGUAGCAAACAUUUCGGCGAUUUUUUAAACAGGAGAAUUUUCUAAAUUUUCGAAUAAUCUCAGAAAAUCAGAAGCAGAAAUUUCCGCGACCUUUUAAACAGGAGAAUUUUCAAACUCUUCGAAUAAUCCCAGAAAAUCAGAAGCACAAAUUUCGGCGACUUUUUAAACAGGUAUGUUCGAAUGACUGUUAGGACAAAAGCAUAAAAUAUCAAGAACAAGCUAGUCAACUGCAUAAUUAUUCUACCUAAUAUAACGGCACUGUUGAGUGUGUUAUGACUUUGUUGAAAAUAUUGACUUAAAAAAGUCAGGCACGUAAAACAAUUUUAUCCAUAAGCAAUUGCGAAUAUAAGAACGUUUUUGUAUUGCAAG